AAGUAUAUUGUUACUUCAGUGGUGAAAUUGGAAUAAUACAGAGAAGAUUAGCAUGGACCCUGCUCAACGAUGACAUGAAAAUUCAUGAAGCAUUCCAUAUUUUU
ensembl:snRNA U6 U6 spliceosomal RNA